rnacentral:rRNA from 1 species
AUUGAACGCUGGCGGCAGGCUUAACACAUGCAAGUCGAGCGGGGAUAAGGUGCUUGCACCUUAUCUUAGCGGCGGACGGGUGAGUAAUGCUUAGGAAUCUGCCUAUUAGUGGGGGACAACAUUCCGAAAGGAAUGCUAAUACCGCAUACGCCCUACGGGGGAAAGCAGGGGAUCUUCGGACCUUGCGCUAAUAGAUGAGCCUAAGUCGGAUUAGCUAGUUGGUGGGGUAAAGGCCUACCAAGGCGACGAUCUGUAGCGGGUCUGAGAGGAUGAUCCGCCACACUGGGACUGAGACACGGCCCAGACUCCUACGGGAGGCAGCAGUGGGGAAUAUUGGACAAUGGGCGGAAGCCUGAUCCAGCCAUGCCGCGUGUGUGGAGAAGGCCUUUUGGUUGUAAAGCACUUUAAGCGAGGAGGAGGCUACCUGGAUUAAUACUCUAGGAUAGUGGACGUUACUCGCAGAAUAAGCACCGGCUAACUCUGUGCCAGCCGCCGCCGUAAUAC